rnacentral:rRNA from 1 species
GUCCUGCAGGUUAAACGACUCGCCCUUAGAGUUUGAUCCUGGCUCAGGACGAACGCUGGCGGCGUGCUUUACACAUGCAAGUCGAACGAUGAUGACCAGCUUGCUGGUUUGAUUAGUGGCGAACGGGUGAGUAACACGUGAGUAACCUGCCCCAGACUCUGGGAUAACUCCGGGAAACCGGGGCUAAUACUGGAUAUCCAUCUCCUGCUGCAUGGUGGGGGUUGUAAAGGGUUUCUGGUCUGGGAUGGGCUCGCGGCCUAUCAGCUUGUUGGUGGGGUGAUGGCCUACCAAGGCUUUGACGGGUAGCCGGCCUGAGAGGGUGACCGGCCACACUGGGACUGAGACACGGCCCAGACUCCUACGGGAGGCAGCAGUGGGGAAUAUUGCACAAUGGGCGAAAGCCUGAUGCAGCGACGCCGCGUGAGGGAUGACGGCCUUCGGGUUGUAAACCUCUUUCAGCAGGGAAGAAGCCGCUCGCGGUGACGGUACCUGCAGAAGAAGCGCCGGCUAACUACGUGCCAGCAGCCGCGGUAAUACGUAGGGCGCAAGCGUUGUCCGGAAUUAUUGGGCGUAAAGAGCUCGUAGGCGGUUUGUCGCGUCUGCUGUGAAAUCCUCAGGCUCAACCUGGGGCGUGCAGUGGGUACGGGCAGACUAGAGUGCGGUAGGGGAGACUGGAAUUCCUGGUGUAGCGGUGGAAUGCGCAGAUAUCAGGAGGAACACCGGUGGCGAAGGCGGGUCUCUGGGCCGUAACUGACGCUGAGGAGCGAAAGCAUGGGGAGCGAACAGGAUUAGAUAACCUGGUAGUCCAUGCCGUAAACGUUGGGCACUAGGUGUGGGGUCCAUUCCACGGGUUCCGCGCCGUAGCAAACGCAUUAAGUGCCCCGCCAUGGGGAGUACGGCCGCAAGGCUAUAACUCAAAUGAAUUGACGGAAGGGCGAAUUCGC